GGUCCCGUAGCUCAGUAGGAUAGAGCGGCAGAUUCCUAAUCUGUAGGUCGCAGGUUCGAUUCCUGCCGGGAUCA
rfam:Aquamicrobium defluvii strain W13Z1 genomic scaffold V9__scaffold_21, whole genome shotgun sequence.